CAAGAUUAAAACUCAAAGGAAUAGACGGGGACCCGCNCAAGCGGUGGAGCANGUGGUUUAAUUNGAAGAUACGNGAAGAACCUUACCCGGACUUGAUAUCUAACAAAUCAUCCAGAGAUGGAAGAGUGUCUGNUNGCAGAAAUGUUAAGACAGGUGNNGCNCGNNNNUNGUCAGCUCGUGUCGUGAGAUGUUGGGUUAAGUCCCGCAACGAGCGCAACCCACGUCAUUAGUUGNUAACGGUUCGGCCGAGCACUNUAAUGAGACUGCCUUCGUAAGGAGGAGGAAGGUGUAGACGACGUCAAGUCAUCAUGGCCCUUAUGUCCGGGGCGACACACGUGCUACAAUGGCAUAUACAAUAAGACGCAAUAUCGUAAGGUGGAGCAAAUCUAAAAAAUAUGUCCCAGUUCGGAUUGGAGUCUGCAACUCGACUCCAUGAAGCCGGAAUCGCUAGUAAUCGUAGAUCAGCCAUGCUACGGUGAAUACGUUCCCGGGUCUUGUACUCACCGCCCGUCACACCAUGGGA
rnacentral:rRNA from 1 species